rnacentral:rRNA from 1 species
AUAUCAGUAAGCGGAGGAAAAGAAACCAACAGGGAUUUCCUGAGUAACUGCGAGUGAAAAGGGAGAAGCUCAGCGCUAAAGGUGGAUAGCUUUGGUUACCAACCGGUGUGGCGUUUAAAGAGUCCAGUCUGUGAGUGCGUAGUGGUCUAAAUUUCGCUGGAACGCGGUUGCAAAGAUGGUUUUACACCAGUCUGAGCGUUGCGCCUUGCAGAGCAGACACUUUUGGAGUCGAGUUGUUUGGAAACGCAGCUCAAAGCGGGUGGUAAACUUCACCUAAAGCUAAAUAUGGCUACGAGACCGAUAGCGCACAAGUA